UACGUAGGGGGCAAGCGUUGUCCGGAUUUAUUGGGCGUAAAGAGCUUGUAGGCGGUUUGUCGCGUCUGCCGUGAAAUUUCGGGGCUCAACCCCGAACUUGCGGUGGGUACGGGCAGACUAGAGUGUGGUAGGGGAGACUGGAAUUCCUGGUGUAGCGGUGAAAUGCGCAGAUAUCAGGAGGAACACCGAUGGCGAAGGCAGGUCUCUGGGCCACUACUGACGCUGAGAAGCGAAAGCAUGGGGAGCGAACAGG
rnacentral:rRNA from 1 species